UCUCUUUGAUGGCCGCAGCAAGCGCAGGCAGCACGGACCUUUCUUCUUUCCCAAGAGAAUUCCAGACUGCAAACGACUCAUUCCUCUGCCAAGGGGCUCGGCUCUCCUUUAGCCAGCGUGUGACAUCCGUAGCUGUGUAGCUGGGUCUGACCAUUUCUGGUGCCAUGGGAACUGUGCCAUGAGGACUGGUAAGCCUGGACCAUAGCCAUGACGGAGCCCCACAGGGUUCCCUUCACCACCCUCCACGGCCCACUGAGCAGCAGCUUCCUGAAGAGGUCUCGGAAGGACGAUGGAGAGCAGCCCCAGGACACGGAGCCGGCGGCCACAGCCGUUCGGAUCACCCUGACCCUCUUCGAGCCAGACCACAAACGUUGCCCAGAGUUCUUCUACCCAGACCUUCUGAAGAGCUGUCGAGGGAAAGUGAGAGGUGGUGGUCCUUCAGGAGACAAGAAGAAAGACCCUGCUGACCCCUUCAAUGAUGAAGAGAAGGAAAGGCAUAAAGUGGAGGCUCUUGCUAGGAAGUUUGAAGAGAAAUAUGGUGGGAAGAGGCGCCGGAAGGACCGCAUCCAGGACCUGAUCGACAUGGGCUACGGCUACGACGAGUCUGACUCCUUCAUCGAUAACUCUGAAGCUUACGAUGAGCUGGUUCCAGCUUCUCUCACAACCAAGUAUGGAGGAUUUUACAUCAACUCAGGGACGCUGCAGUUCCGGCAGGCGUCUGAGUCUGAAGAUGACUAUGUGAAAGAGAAGAAGAAGAAGUGCCCCAAGAAGCGGAAGUUGAAAGAUGGAGGUGAAAAAGUGAAGAAGAAGAAGAAAGAUGAUUCUUAUGACAAAGAAAAGAAAUCCAAGAAGUCCAAGUUCCCAAAAGCUGGCUUUACAGCGCUGAAUGCAAGCAAGGAGAAGAAGAAGAAGAAGUACUCUGGUGCUCUGAGUGUCAAGGAGAUGCUGAAGAAGUUUCAGAAGGAGAAGGAUGCUCAGAGGAAAAAAGAUGAAGAGCAGAAAGCAGCAGCUCCUUCACCAGCAGAGCCUCCAGUCCCGAGAGAGGCAGAGGCCAUGCCUGACCCUUUGCUCUCGCUCUUUGGCCAUGCCAGUGACAAUGACCUGCUUCAGGCAGCCACAGCCAUGGACUCCUUAACUGACCUGGACCUGGAGAGGCUCCUCAGUGAGUCCCCAGGAGGCAGUCCCUUCCCCGAGGUGGAGGAUGGCAGCGAUCCCGUGGGAGUGGGCUUGGAGCAGGAUUUCAAGCAGCCUCCAUCCCUCCCCGAGGGCCUGCCAGCCCCUCUGGAGAAACGCAUCAAAGAGCUGGCCCAGGCUGCCAGAGCUGCAGACGGAGAAGGCAAACAGAGAUUCUUCACUCAGGACAUCAACAACAUCAUCCUGGACAUCGAGCUGCAGACGCGGGAGCUGAGCAGCCAGGUGCGCUCCGGGGUCUAUGCCCACCUGGCCGCCUUCUUCCCCUGCAGCAAGGACACUCUGCUGAAGCGUGCCCGCAAGCUUUAUCUCUACGAGCAGGGUGGUCGACUGAAGGAACCCCUGCAGAAGCUAAAGGAAGCCAUUGGAAGGGCCAUGCCGGAGCAGAUGGCCAAAUACCAGGAGGAAUGCCAGGUUCAUACUCAGGCCAAGUUUGCCAAGCUGCUGGAAGAGGAGAAGGACAAGGAGCAGCAAGAUCGAGUUUGCUCUGAGGAUGAGGAGGGUGAAGAGAAGGGAGGGAAGUGCCCUGCAGGGCCACGGAAGAAGUUCCAGUGGAAUGAUGAAAUCAGGGAGCUGCUUUGCCAUUUGGUGAGGAUUAAGUUGGCUGGUUCUGACCUUGACAAGAAUAAGGCUCAGUCUCUAGAGGAUUAUGUGAAGACCUUCCUUGCUGGAGAGGUGAAACCCCUUUGGCCAAAAGGCUGGAUGCAGGCCAGGACACUGUUUAAGGAGAGCAGGCUCGCACACGGACACCUCCCAUCGGCCCUGGCAAAGAAGAAGGUUCUGGCUCCUGCCAAGGUGAAAGUGAAGGACUCUUCCUCCUCCAAGCCAGAGAAGAAGACCUCUGUGUCCAUUCCCUCCGUGCACUCCAGCAGCACCUUAGCUCUGUCUGCAGAGCCCCAGGGAGCCGUCGUGGGCAUCAGUGCCCAGACCAGAGAACUCUUGUCCCUUGGGACAGCCCAAGCAGCCAUCAGUAGUGGCACUCCUGCCACCUUCAAGGAUGACUCCUUGGAUGAGGACUUAAUCCGGAACCCCACUUCCUCCCUGGAAGCAGUCUCUAAGGAGCUGGCUGUGCUGAACAGCGGAGCAGCAGGCAGCCCUGACUUCACUCUUCCUGCAGCUCCAAAGGCUCCAGCAGAGAAGAUCCCAACCCUUGCAUCCUCAGAGGAGAAGAGGACAUUUCCAAAGCCCAACCCUUCCCCUACAUCAUCCUCUGGUUCCCUCCAGUCUCCUCUAAACUUCCUGGCUGAGCAAGCCCUGGCCUUGGGGCAGUCUGCUCAAGACAAAAAGGCAGAGAACUCCAACUACAAGGAAGUCUCCUGCCAAGCCUCUCCCAGCAAAGCCCUUCCCGAUGCACACCAAUCUAAGCAGAAGCACCACAGCCUGGCCCGGCCCAGCCCCGGGGCAGCCUCGCAGCUGAAGGUCUUCCACUCGGGCAGUCAGCUCCAGAAGACUUUCACUUCCCCAGCGCCCUUUGUCAAACUGCAGCAUCCCAAAUCCUCCUCCUCCUCCUCCCCGCUGCCCCAGCGCUCCCUCCUGCCGCAGGUCAAGUCCUCAACCAAAGCUCAGAGCUUCCACUCCUCUGCAUCUUCGGGCAGCAGCCAGAAUUCCAGCAGCUCCCACAAGAGCCCGGGCUCAGCCUCGGCGGCUCUCAGCUACGCAGGGAAGCACUCGAGCGGCUCUGGCUCUUCAGGACAGGCUUACAAAUCCCCCUUUGUGGCUGGCUCCCUCUCCAAGCACGGGGCUUCUUCCAGCAGCAACUCAGCUGGAGCUUCUGCCAGCCACGGCUGCUCCCCUGGCAGCCUGCUGCCCACCGUGCAGCCUCCCUCCUCGGGCCAGCCCUCCAGCCGCCCCUCUUCCAGCUCCUCGCUGAAGAAGACUCCAGUUUCACAGAAGCUGACUCUGGUGGCACCUCCCGGAGGUUCCAAUGGAGAUUCCAGUGGGGGCACUCAAGGGGUGGCCAAGUUGCUGACCUCCUCCCUAAAGCCAGCUGUUGUUAGCAGCGCUGCCUCUUCUACCUCUGUGCCGAAAGUAACCAGUGGAGCUGUGCUGCUAACAAGCUCUUCCUCCUUAAGUGUGCUGGCUCCGUCCUACAAGUCCAACAGUCCAAAGCUGCCAGCUGCCCUCAGCUCCACCCCGCUGGGUAUCAUCUCUCCCAUCCAUUCCUUCCCUCUCCAUGUCAUCUCCUUCAGCUCAGACUCCUCCUCCAAAGCAGGAGUUUCCAAGGAUGCAAUAGUUACAGGACCUGCGCCAGGAACGUUCCACCACGGCCUGGGCCACAGUCUCCUGGCUGGCUUGCACUCCAGCCCUCACCACGCCGCGCCGCUCCCACACUCUGCCCUCUCCACUCACUUACCACAGCCCUUGCCAGAUGCUCCUCAGCUGCACGGCAAAGGCUCUGCCACGCAACCACGCAAGUUGUGACGUCUGCCUGUCGGAGCACCCUCAGAGCCACCCCAAGAGGAGGACAGCAGCUCAUGGACUUUGGACACCAGCUGUGUCUUGGCUUUUGGUUGGAUUUUUUUGUUGUCAUUUCCUUUUUUUGCCUGACAACAACUGGAGAGGCUGAGCCAGGCCAAGGGAUCCAGCGGUGCAUUUGCUCUUGGGGGCUGGCAGAGCUGAACCACCCAGGUGCCACCUUGAGCCAUGCCUAGGCUAAGCCCUGCACCAAGAGGCCGCCUUGAGCCAUGCCUAGGCUAAGCCCUGCACCAAGAGGCCACCUUGAGCCAUGCCUAGGCUAAGCCCUGCACCAAGACGCCACCUUGAGCCAUGCCUAGGCUAAGCCCCGCACCAAGAGGCCGCCUUGAGCCAUGCCUAGGCUAAGCCCCGCACCAAGAGGCCACCUUGAGCCAUGCCUAGGCUAAGCCCCGCACCAAGAGGCCACCUUGAGCCAUGCCUAGGCUAAGCCCCGCACCAAGAGGCCACCUUGAGCCAUGCCUAGGCUAAGCCCCACACCAAGAGGCCGCCUUGAGCCAUGGAGGGAAGUGUUUUGUAUCACCCUUGUUUUGCUGCUGCCCCUGGAGUGUUCCCUGGAACUGGCAGCAGCUGAAGCUUGCUCAGGAGGGCUCAGUCUUCUUGGCUCGAUUCCAUCCCAUCUGGAUCUGCAGCUGCCAAGUAGCUCCAAGGCUGGUUUUACCUGCUUGGUCUCCCGGUGGUGGGGCUGGAAGGGGCUGCUUGGGAUUUCCCUGGGGGGAUUCCAGCAGUGCCAGUGCUCUCUGAAGGCAUUUGACUUUUUUUUUCUCUUGUGCUAUAUGACUGCUCCACUUCAUUGGAGGACUUCACACUUCCUGUGUGCUCAAUGGAACUGACCACCUGAUGGGAACAGGAAGACCUUUCUUUUUUUGGAGAGACCCUUUUCAGAUGCAGUCAUUCGACUUCAUUGGAGGAUUUGACUUCUUUUGGAUGAUUUCUGUUUGGUGUUUUUCUUGGUUUGGGUUUUCUUUUCCCUCCCCCUGCUCACUUUUUAUCCUCACUGCCAUCAAAUGCAUUGGAUUUGAAGGGGACACUUUUCUCAGCAUGCCACAUCUAUAGGAAGACAAAAUUCCAGUGCCUUUUUUUCUGGUGGAGCAAGAAUGGGACCUAGUGAGACACAUUUCCAAGCCUCCUUUGUGUGCUCCUCGAGCUGUUUUGUUGGGGGUGUUCUUUUUGGUUUUAAACCAUUCCAUAUUUAAAAUGUGUCCUGGUUUAUUUAACAGAGCUUUUUUUCUGGUUGCCACAUCAACCAACCAAGCUGCACUUGUCUGGACUCUUCAGUGGUGUCUUGGUGACUGCAAACACAGCACCAAAGGCAGGAGGAGCAUCAAUUCCUAGCCCAGUUUGUGCAGGUUGUAGCAAAAGAGCCAAAGACAGAACUCGUGGUACUGAAAACUCAGCACAGCAGUUAGCGGUGGACUCUGAGCGGUGGAUGGAUGUCUCCUGGAAGAGAGAGGCUGCUUUGAGGAACCUUCAGAAGAGCUGAAGAGGCUACUUUGCAACCUUCAACUUGCCCCUGGUAGCUGGAAAGGAGCCUUCCAAGCCUUGGCAGGACAAGGGACUCCCAGUGAGUGACUGGAGGUGCUGCUUCUCCUCUCCCUCUCUUGGCUUUCAACUUGAAACGCUGCUGCUGGGGAAGCACCCAGAGCAGAACGCCCUCCUCCUAGGAAUUUAGCAAAGCCUCUUGCCUCAGGGAAAUGUUUCUUUGGUGGGAAUUCUGUGGGAUAUUUGUUUGCUUUGGGGUUGUUUUGGUUUGUUGUUUGGGUUUUUUUUCCUCUUGUGUCUCUACGUGCUCUGAUUGAGGUGAGUGAUGUGGAGUUGGCAGCAAGGCAGGACCCACACCACCAGCUGCUGAGGGGCUGUGAGCCUGGCACCUCUGCCUCCCACCAGGAGCUUGGUGGUGGUGUGGGGAGGAGAGGACAUUCCCCCCCCCAACACACACACAUUCCCAGUCCUUUUAGGUGUCAGAGCUGCCCUUUGGGUUUGUUUUUUUUCUGGUGUGUGGUGGGACUGCCUUGCUGAAGGUGUUGGGGAUGGGAGGAAAACUCUUCCCCUUGUACAAAGCAACCCAAUAAAUCCUUUCCAAGUUUCCAGAA